AGAGUUUGAUCCAUGGCUCAGGAUGAACGCUGGCGGCGUGCUUAACACAUGCAAGUCGAACGGUGAAGCCAAGCUUGCUUGGUGGAUCAGUGGCGAACGGGUGAGUAACACGUGAGCAACCUGCCCUGGACUCUGGGAUAAGCGCUGGAAACGGCGUCUAAUACUGGAUAUGAGCUUCUACCGCAUGGUGGGGGUUGGAAAGAUUUUUUGGUCUGGGAUGGGCUCGCGGCCUAUCAGCUUGUUGGUGAGGUAAUGGCUCACCAAGGCGUCGACGGGUAGCCGGCCUGAGAGGAUGACCAGCCACACUGGAACUGAGACACGGCCCAGACUCCUACGGGAGGCAGCAGUGGGGAAUAUUGCGCAAUGGGCGAAAGCCUGACGCAGCGACGCCGCGUGAGGGAUGAAGGCCUUCGGGUUGUAAACCUCUUUCAGCAGGGAAGAAGCGAAAGUGACGGUACCUGCAGAAGAAGCACCGGCUAACUACGUGCCAGCAGCCGCGGUAAUACGUAGGGUGCAAGCGUUGUCCGGAAUUAUUGGGCGUAAAGAGCUCGUAGGCGGUUUGUCGCGUCUGCUGUGAAAACGCGGGGCUCAACUCCGCGCCUGCAGUGGGUACGGGCAGACUAGAGUGCAGUAGGGGAGACUGGAAUUCCUGGUGUAGCGGUGGAAUGCGCAGAUAUCAGGAGGAACACCGGUGGCGAAGGCGGGUCUCUGGGCUGUAACUGACGCUGAGGAGCGAAAGCGUGGGUAGCGAACAGGAUUAGAUACCCUGGUAGUCCACGCCGUAAACGUUGGGCGCUAGGUGUGGGGCUCAUUCCACGAGUUCCGUGCCGCAGCAAACGCAUUAAGCGCCCCGCCUGGGGAGUACGGCCGCAAGGCUAAAACUCAAAGGAAUUGACGGGGCCCCGCACAAGCGGCGGAGCAUGCGGAUUAAUUCGAUGCAACGCGAAGAACCUUACCAAGGCUUGACAUGCAGGGUAAUCCGGCAGAGAUGUCGGGUCCGCAAGGGAUCUUGCACAGGUGGUGCAUGGUUGUCGUCAGCUCGUGUCGUGAGAUGUUGGGUUAAGUCCCGCAACGAGCGCAACCCUCGUCCUAUGUUGCCAGCGCGUGAUGGCGGGGACUCAUAGGAGACUGCCGGGGUCAACUCGGAGGAAGGUGGGGAUGACGUCAAAUCAUCAUGCCCCUUAUGUCUUGGGCUUCACGCAUGCUACAAUGGCCAGUACAAAGGGCUGCGAGACCGUGAGGUGGAGCGGAUCCCAAAAAGCUGGUCUCAGUUCGGAUCGGGGUCUGCAACUCGACCCCGUGAAGUCGGAGUCGCUAGUAAUCGCAGAUCAGCAACGCUGCGGUGAAUACGUUCCCGGGGCUUGUACACACCGCCCGUCACGUCACGAAAGUUGGUAACACCCGAAGCCGGUGGCCUAACCCGUAAGGGAGGGAGCUGUCGAAGGUGGGACUGGCGAUUGGGACGAAGUCGUAACAAGGUAACCGUA
rnacentral:rRNA from 1 species